CCUGCGUGCACAGAUUUGAUGCCAGCGUUGUGGCUGUUCCUCCGUGUCUGUGAGAUUCGCUGUGACAAUGGAGUCAUCUUAAGUUCCUCUGUUUAUGUGAUGACCUGCACUGAGCUAACAAGCAUAAACGAAUAGCAUCUGCGCUCUCAGACCUGCUGCAUGGGCCACACAGGAGAGCUGAGGAUGCUUGUGGACCAAGAAUCCCUUUGCGGUUACGAAGGCUAUUUGCCAGCCUAUACUGUUGCUGCAUUUACGAAUACGUUGCCUAGCCUGACCUUGUGAACAGGGUUGCUUAAGAGAUCAACACUUCGGAGGGUUAUUGUCGUCACCAAGUAGAGCACUGUUGGUGUGUUUCAAGGAAUGUUUUGAACUUUGAGAUGACUCAGUUAGUUAAGGUACCUGGAACUGAUGUCUUGAAUUACACUCUUGCAGUCUCUGCG